GGUGAACGCUGGCGUCGUGCCUAAUACAUGCAAGUCGAGCGAACGGACGAGAAGCUUGCUUUUCUGAUGUUAGCGGCGGACGGGUGAGUAACACGUGGAUAACCUACCUAUAAGACUGGGAUAACUUCGGGAAACCGGAGCUAAUACCGGAUAAUAUUUUGAACCGCAUGGUUCAAAAGUGAAAGACGGUCUUGCUGUCACUUAUAGAUGGAUCCGCGCUGCAUUAGCUAGUUGGUAAGGUAACGGCUUACCAAGGCAACGAUGCAUAGCCGACCUGAGAGGGUGAUCGGCCACACUGGAACUGAGACACGGUCCAGACUCCUACGGGAGGCAGCAGUAGGGAAUCUUCCGCAAUGGGCGAAAGCCUGACGGAGCAACGCCGCGUGAGUGAUGAAGGUCUUCGGAUCGUAAAACUCUGUUAUUAGGGAAGAACAUAUGUGUAAGUAACUGUGCACAUCUUGACGGUACCUAAUCAGAAAGCCACGGCUAACUACGUG
rnacentral:rRNA from 1 species